UAUGUGCUCCAUCCGGCUUCUCAUUUUUAACGAGACUACGAGCUUCCUCAAAGCAUUGCUCAAAGGAUCUUGUCCCAAUUAGCUCGCCGCAUCUAGUCUCAAGUCAUUCGAUUCAUUUCAAGUGUGUCAAUGUGUCGGAUGCACCUGU
ensembl:ncRNA C43F9.16 ncRNA